UUCUGCUCUGAUACCAUAUUAAAAAUCAUUGGAUGAAAAACAGUUUAUUAAACUCCAUUAAGGAGAAAGACAAACUCCAUAAAAGGAGAAUAUAAAGGCACUCCAUGAAGGAGGAAUCACUCCAUGAAAGGAGGAGAAGAAAACUCCAUAAAAAGUGAAAAUGAAACACUCCAUUAAAGGAGGAAUAGAAACUCCAUAGAAGGAGAAAAUGAAACCUCCAUAGGAGGGAUUGGAAAUCCACAUUCCAAUAGACUAAAAAUGUAUACAUGGUGCUGUAUUUAUAGAGCAAAAUGGCUAAACUAAUUAGCUAAUUAACAAACUAAUCACUAACUAACUAACAACUAAGACAGCUGGACACAACCAUUUGGACUCUGAUACGUUGAGAUGGAAGUCUCUAGAAUCUGGAGCACGAAUCUGCUGAUGUUUGGUGCACGUGUAUUCCAACAGCAAUUUUCCCUUGAUUUCAUUCUAUUUUAGUUGUAUGUGAAAUUCUAGUUUUGAUCUUGCAAGUAUAUGGAACUGCCGGCUGCGAAAUUCCCGGCGAUCCGUGGUCGAAACCCUCAAUACAUAUCUCCGAUACCUGGACACAAAUUGUGCCAAAUUGCAACAUGCAAAACCAAUUACCUAUGGAUAAAUGUCCGGUACCGACAGCUAAGCAGUCACCGUAAAAUCUCUGUCUCUGCUAAUUUGCCCAAAGCAUUUGAUUCGGAAAAUCGUAAGAAGAAUGGCUGGAUUCACUUUAUCGGUGUGGGAGGCUGUGGAAUUUCUGCUCUUGCCAUGCUUGCCCUCAGACAAGGAUACGAGGUUAGUGGUUCGGAUAUUGUGUGAAGCAGCUACAUGGAUGCACUAAAAGAAGCUGGCUCUCAUUUUUAUAUUGGCCAUUCUGAAUUGAGUUUACGAAAGUGUAAUUUUUCGAGUUCUCCUGAUGCAAUUGUCGUUUCGAGUGCAAUUCCAACUGACAAUGUGGAGAUUCUAUAUGCCAUGUCUGUUGGAAUACCAGUGUAUAAACGAGGUACAUGGUUGGGAAAGCUAACAGAGGACUACAAUCUGAUUGCUGUCAGUGGAAGCCACGGUAAUAUUAUGAUUGAAGAAUUUUAGACAUGGUAAUUGAUCAGUAUACAUUAGUUUGAUUUGUAUAGGCCCAUGAACACAUUUUUGAUUUGCAAAAUUGCGUUUGUGUGCAAGAUGUUUGAUGAGGGAUAUCUCACGAUAAAAAGUUGUUCGGGAGGAUGCUGUUCAAUAAAAAGGAAAGUAUAGCUGUAUAUGAUUGUAUGUGUUUAUGUAAAUUCAACGAACGAACCUAACCAUUUUGUAGGAUGUAUUAAUUACGCAAGAUCACAUGAAAUAGUAUGUAUUUGUUUGCUAUGAAAUAAUUUAUUCUGUGUCUCCGACUGUGAGACUGAAUUGAGUUUA